ACGUAGGGUGCAAGCGUUAAUCGGAAUUACUGGGCGUAAAGCGUGCGCAGGCGGUUGUGUAAGUUUGUCGUGAAAUCCCCGGGCUCAACCUGGGAAUUGCGAUGAAGACUGCACGGCUAGAGUGUGUCAGAGGGGGGUAGAAUUCCACGUGUAGCAGUGAAAUGCGUAGAUAUGUGGAGGAACACCGAUGGCGAAGGCAGCCCCCUGGGAUAACACUGACGCUCAUGCACGAAAGCGUGGGGAGCAAACAGG
rnacentral:rRNA from 1 species